GGUUUUCGCCAGGACUCUGCCCGUGCGCCCGCCACCUGCCGUAACAAACCGCCCCGUCGGGGUGGCUACACGAAGGAAUCUGCCGGAGGCUGGACUCCAGCCAUUGGGGUGUCACGGGGCUGGCUUCCUCGAGGCCUCCCUCCCGUGGCAUGACGAGGGCCACCUUCCCCGUGUCCUCGUGGCCUCCCCCACAUGUCCCUGGUGUCUCCUCUUCUUCUUGUAAGAACACAGUCAUGUCGGAUCUGAGCUCAGGUAACCACAGUGUUUCCAGGUGCCCACGCACAGCCACAGCUUCGGUACCGGGCUUCAGACGCCAUCCAUGAAUUUGAUGAUACAAGCAGCCAUAAAGCCACAAAGGCUCUCAGUAAAGCCCGAGUCGGAGAAGGAAGGUGGGCGCACAGGGCCCCUUCCCCUGAGCCGCUCCUGCCCCCCAGGCAGCAGGCUGUCCAGAGCGGAGCCCUGCAGGUGACUCCCAGACGGGGGGUUCACGUGAAAGGACACUCCCUUCCUCGGCCCAGCAGUCCCCUCAGACCUGCCCUCUGCGGCCAUAUGUGCUCCAGGAGAGAGUGAUUCUCGGCUCUGCUGGCCCCCGCCCCUGACCCCCCCACCCCACGAAUUUCACCAGGAAGAAGUAACUAACAGCCAUCUGGAAGAUUUAAGAGCUUGCCUUUGGGAAAGUUUGAAUUAUGUAUGAUUUAAGAAUGGCCAUCUUUCCUAAAUAAAAUAUUAAUUUGAUUUUUCUAAAACAAAUAAAACGUAGGCAAGUGAUAGCCGGGAAAGGUCAGCCAUGGUGCAGACAGGAGCGUCCGGGACACGGCUCUGUCGCUGCUGCACAGCCAGAAGUUAAAACAGCGGGGAUUGCAUGGACAGAAACUACUUUAUUUACUCACCUCGGCUCUGUGCCAUCGAACACGGAAGAAACCACCCGUCCCCUCCUUUCUGAGAUUGUUCCUGUGGCCCGAAAACCAGCCAUCAAAAUUGCGGCCCUACUCAGAUGUCUAUAGACAUGUCCGCUGCCCAUCACCCUCCAGAUGACAGCAACCGGGAUUAUCACAGGACACGACAUUUAUCAGAGGACACGACUGUGGGGAAACAGGAGGGGGAGGCCCAGGGGACUGGCGGGCAGACAGUGGGCAGGGCCGGACCUUGAGAGAGAGGACUAGGGGCAGGGAUCUGACACCUGGGGUGUGUGGAGCCCCGUGCCCACAGCCGCCCCCUCCAGAAGCACCCCGUUUCCCUCCCCUCCCACACUGACCGCUCAGCCCCGGCCGAGAGGAGGAUGGGGCUGAAACGGCAGACAGUUCCUUCACGCAAGCCUGGCCGACACAGGCCAUGUCCCGUCCGCCUGAGCACCUCGUUUCCACGGCUCAUUCUUCAAGGCCCGCCAUGGCGGGAGAAAGCACCUGUGAGGAAGGAGCUCGAAACAUCAGGUCUCAGGGGCCCUGAGGGCUGCAACACAGCAGGGUGGAUGCCAGCGAGGACAGGUGAACCAUCGGGUCUCAGGGGCCCUGCGGGCUGCAGCAGGGGGUUGCCGGCAAGGACAGGUUGCACAGCGGCCACGGGAGGGUCCCGCCAAGGCCGGCCGGGUGCCCUGGCGAAGGCGGCGGGCUCCCCUCCUGCCCACGUGGGCCUCCCGGGAAACGCUGUCUUGUAUAACGUACGCCCCACCUUUCCCUAAUCGGAAUGCACACGUCUGACGGCAAAGUUCCCACACAGUAAGACCGUGAGUGUGGAAAUGGAGCCCAUCGGCCUCAUAGGGAAGGAGGGACUUUGUCUGCGUGACUCUGUUCCUGGCUCCCCCGGCACCCGGACCAGGCCAUCAGGAAUGAACCGGGCCUUUCAAUUAAACGUCAUGAAGCAUUUCCGGGGACCUCCAGGACCUCUGGGACAGUGACCACCUCCUCCAGACAUGCUUCUAUUUCCCCAGGAACCGCCGAGGCACCUCUGCACAGGGACACGAGAGCAACAGCUACGAUUUCCCAGAGGCGGGCCUCUCGCCGACACGCUGAUGUCUCCCUGCUCAGAGGAAGUCAUUCCCAGGCAGCAACGACCAGAAGAUAUUCAAAUAACCCCACCAGUGCCACGGAGGAGGGGACGGACGUGCCACAUCACCUCCCGCGAGGGGCCCGGGCACGGAGGGGGAUCUGGCCUCACUCCCAGACGCCGCCCCAUCGUUCCCACGGCCGAGCCCCAGCCCUGCGGCCCCCAGCCCUCCUGGGCCUCCUCGACCUCCCCGGGCUCUUCUGACGUGAGGACUGGGCCAGGGGCCUAGGGGCCAGAGCGGUUCAUCAGAGCCAGGACCCAGGACCGAGUGGACUCGCUGUCGGGGUCCUCGCGUCUCGCACCUGCAGCGCCAACCUCAUCAGCCUUAGACCCCUGAGAUGGUGUCAAAACAGGGGCAGCCGUGACCUUGGGCACCGACCCCGAAUGCUGCGUCUUCGCCCUACAAGCCUGUCGCUCACAUCAUAACCCACGAACCAUCCGACGUUCAAGGGGCAGAACCCUGUGAAUCGGGGCCACAGAGUCACCACAAAACACUGAAGAAAGGGGUGCCCAGGUGGCUCAGUAGGUUGAGCGUCCAACUCUUCAUCUCUGCUCAGGUCGUGAUCCCAGGCAGGGUCAGGGGAUCUCUCUCUCUCUCUCUCUUUCUCUCUCUCUCUCUCUCUCUCUCUCCCUC